rnacentral:tRNA from 1 species
GCGAGAGUGGUGGAACUGGCAGACACGCAGGAUUUAGGUUCCUGUGCCGCAAGGCGUGAGGGUUCGACUCCCUCCUCUCGCA